UCCAUCCCUUCUUUCUUUCUCCUUCGCUUCUUCUUCCUCUACACCCUCCUUCUCCUUGGCCUCGUCUUCCUCUCCCACACCCGCAUCUAGCGCCACCGUUUGGUGUUUCUUCAUCUUCCACAAUGAUGACGCCGUUUGGGGCAGCAAUGCCCCCUGUUGUGUUGCCUUUUGGUGGAAUGCCUUUUGUUUGGGAUCGGAGGCGCAUAACCAUGGAUUCGGAGUUCCCCUACAAGGCGUUAAUGAGCACGCGUUUUUCUCCAAGCCCUAUCACACUCUGGCUUCGAGUUCUACACCCCCGUCCAAGUCGCCACCAUUCCUCUGCUCUGCAACUUCAAGGAUGUCACCGUCAACGCCACCACCAGUUCCGACAAACCCCUAGGUUUUGUUGUUCUUCUCGUCGAGAUUCUACGCUACUCCUCUUCUUAUCCCAAGCCUCACUAGGUUCUUGUGUACUCUUAUUAUUUCUUUGAACAAUGCAAGCAGUGUGCUAUGCAAAUUUAAAGAAUACCCGCAUCCCUGAAUACUUGUGUCAUUGAUUUCGAGAGAGAGAAAUUAUUAUUAAGGAAAAUGUUGAAUAGGGUACUGGAUUUUAGUCACUAGUGUGUUUAUUGGUUCCAAUUUAUUUUGUUCAACUUAACUAUAAUUAGGUUAAAUGCACAUUUGUUGUAGGUGCUAGGAAUAAUUAUAUCCCCUACAAGGGAGCUAUAAUUGUUGUUACUGGUGCAGUUAUGAGACAAGAGCUAUCAUGGUUGUGCCUGCACAUGAUUCACGUGAUUAUGAAUUUGCUUUGAAAUAUGAUGUUCCAAUUUGCUGGGUUGUAAUGCCAGAUGAUAAAAGUAUCGAGUCUGGAAAGGCUUUUUUAGGUGAAGGCACUAUUGUAAAAUUCAUGAAAUACACUGGUGGGACUUGACAUUAAUGGCUUGUCUAGCAAUGAAGCUGCUCUGAAAGUCAUUGAGUGGGUAGAGAAAAGUGGAAAUGGAAAGAGAAAGGUGAACUAAGUUAAGGGACUAUCUUUUUGCUCGACAACGUUAUUGGGGUGAACUUAUCCCUAUCAUCUUCUUGGAUGAUAAUGGUGAGACUGUCCCAUUGUGUGAGACUGAACUGCCCCUUAUUCUACCUGAAUUGCAUGAUUUUUCUCCCACUGGAUCAGGGGAGCCUCCUCUUUCUAAGGCAAUGUCUUGGAAAUUAAAAAUGGGGAUGAGCAAGUUAAAGCCGAUGCAAUACGAAUAGGAAACUAUAAGGAUGGCUUGUAUCCUAUAGACAAUAGAGAAUUUGCUAAACGAAUAUUCUAUACUAUGUUUAUGGGAUCUAAAAAUAGAACAUUCAAGCUUGAAUCAGAAUGGUGCUAGCUUUCCUGUUAGCAUCACUCUUACCUUGGGUUCACAACAAGCUUGGGUUUUAUCUUGUCUUGGGGAGCUCCAAUGUGGAUGAAGGGUUACAUGGUUACUUGACCAAGGUAUCCCUAUUUUGCUUUGGAUUAUGCCUUUCUUUGUCAGGGACUUUAUGUUUUUCUUCCAUUUCUUGUUUUCGCUACUUGCAAAAAUGUCAAUUUACUUUUACUUUGCUUCUCGAUUACAAAUAUUUAUAGAAAAAAAAAUAUAAAUACACCUGAACCUUUGAGAACAAGAAAUUAAGAUGGUUUUGUAAUUAUUGCUGAAAAUAGGAAAUGGAAAUAGAAAUAUUUUCUUAAAAUUGAUCCUUUGUUUCUCAAAUAUUUUCUCAUGUUUGUGGUCCAUUUCACCCUUGUUAUCAAAGUUUAUCUCCUUUUAUAGUAUGAUUUCAUCUCAAUAGAUAUAAAUCCAAUUGGUAGUAUGAGUAAGCAAGACCUUCGAGCAUUCUUGCAAUGGACAACCAUCCAUCUUGGUUACUCAUCUUUGGCAGAUAUUGAAGCAGCUCCACCCACAGUUGAACCGGAGCCUAUAUGUUCUAAUUACAGUUAGGUAGUAUUCUAUUUUGUAACUUCUGUUACACCUUUUUGUACUGAUCUUGAAUCACUCGAUGGACUCUUGUAGUUAUGUUUAAAUUGAAAAUUCACAUUAAUAUAAUACCAUAUUCGGUAUAUGUGUAGCCAUAUGUAAGAUUUUUGCCUAAAGUGGGUCUACAUUGGAGGGUGGGGGUGGUUAACAUUAACAAUAUAGAAUUCAAAUCAUUAUCUUUUUUUUUCUUGUGCCAAAGUGAAGGAUUAUUAUCAACAUUACCUGAGAGCAAAAGUUUAAAUCUUAGCUCAUAAUGAUGUUGUGAAAAUAUUUUUCCUUUAUCUAGAGAAGUUGGUAGCUAGAUAAUUGGUUUGUUUUCACACCAGAAAUAUGUUGUAAUCUCUUGAAUCUAAGAAUAUAGUAGAAACAAUUGAAAAAUCCAAUGACCAACUCCUAAUCCAAUCAUAAAUAAGGAGUUAUUCUUGCAGAGUUAUCCAAUGACCAAUUCCUAAUCCAAUUAUAAAUAAGGAGUUAUUCUUGCAGAGUUAUUCACCAGAGGAUAAUAGGUUUGAUCUUUGCCAAUCUGUCUAUAAUGCAAGAUGGCCAUGUCAAUUUAGGAAAAUUGAUGAACUUGUAAGUGAAUUGGAUGUUAAAGAUGUUAAAGAUUCAGGAGACCAUGAGGCAAUGGCAGCUACAUCAGAUGGUGUUGGUGGGAUGGGAGUUGCCACAGCUGGUUCAGGUAAUCCUAGUGUUGGAUUGUAAUUAAAAUUAACCCCUACCCUAAUAAAA